rnacentral:rRNA from 1 species
GUGGGGAAUCUUGCGCAAUGGGCGAAAGCCUGACGCAGCCAUGCCGAGUGAAUGAUGAAGGUCUUAGGAUUGUAAAAUUCUUUCACCGGGGACGAUAAUGACGGUACCCGGAGAAGAAGCUCCGGCUAACUUCGUGCCAGCAGCCGCGGUAAUACGAAGGGGGCUAGCGUUGCUCGGAAUUACUGGGCGUAAAGGGCGCGUAGGCGGACAGCUUAGUCAGAGGUGAAAGCCCAGGGCUCAACCUUGGAAUUGCCUUUGAUACUGGCUGUCUUGAGUUUGGGAGAGGUGAGUGGAACUCCGAGUGUAGAGGUGAAAUUCGUAGAUAUUCGGAAGAACACCAGUGGCGAAGGCGACUCACUGGCCCAAUACUGACGCUGAGGCGCGAAAGCGUGGGGAGCAAACAGGAUUAGAUACCCGUGUAGUCC